rnacentral:rRNA from 1 species
AACGCGAAGAUCCUUACCCACGGCUCGAAAUGUAGAGGACAUUUAUCAGAAAUGAUGACUCCCGAAAGGGUCUCUAUAUAGGUGCUGCAUGGCUGUCGUCGGCUCGUGCCGUGAGGUGUUGGGUUAAGUCCCGCAACGAGCGCAACCCUUAUCGUUAGUUGCCAGCGAGUCAAGUCGGGAACUCUAACGAGACUGCCUGGGUUAACCAGGAGGAAGGUGAGGAUGACGUCAAGUCCGCAUGGCCUUUAUGUCUGGGGCAACACACGUGCUACAAUGGCCGGUACAGAAGGCAGCCAAACCGCAAGGUGGAGCAAAUCCUAAAAAGCCGGUCUCAGUUCGGAUUGUAGUCUGCAACUCGACUACAUGAAGUUGGAAUUGCUAGUAAUGGCGGGUCAGCUACACCGCCGUGAAUACGUUCCCGGGUCUUGUACACACCG